UACGUAGGGUGCUAGCGUUGUUCGGAAUCAUUGGGCGUAAAGCGCGUGUAGGCGGUUUGAUAAGUCGAGUGUGAAAUCCCCUGGGCUUAACCGAGGAAGUGCAUUCGAAACUAUCAGGCUAGAAAAACGGUAGAGGAAGGUGGAAUUCCUAGUGUAGAGGUGAAAUUCGUAGAUAUUAGGGAGGAAUACCGGUGGCGAAGGCGGCCUUCUGGACCGAUUUUGACGCUGAGACGCGAAAGCGUGGGGAGCAAACAGG
rnacentral:rRNA from 1 species